rnacentral:rRNA from 1 species
CCUACGGGAGGCAGCAGUGGGGGAUAUUGCACAAUGGGGGAAACCCUGAUGCAGCAACGCCGCGUGGGUGAAGGAGCGUUUCGGCGCGUAAAGCCCUGUCAGCGGGAAAGAAGAAAGACGGUACCUGACUAAGAAGCCCCGGCUAACUACGUGCCAGCAGCCGCGGUAAUACGUAGGGGGCAAGCGUUAUCCGGAUUUACUGGGUGUAAAGGGAGCGUAGACGGCAGCGCAAGUCUGGAGUGAAAUGCCGGGGCCCAACCCCGGAACUGCUUUGGAAACUGUGCAGCUCGAGUGCAGGAGAGGUA